CACACACACACACACACACAUUGACUUAUUGUUUGACACAAAGGAUGUGACUACAAUCAGUAGAUCUCAAAUGUCAACACUGCAUUAUUAAAUCGAUUAACUGAAAACAUAACUCAAAUUGGAAUAUGAUUGGAAUCAGAUCCUGAUUCCUAACCUUUGAACUUAUGGCCUAUUUUCCAUAAUCCAUAGACUACAACUGACUUCAAAUGACCAUGCAACUGUGUCAAUACCAACUUACCAAAAACAAUACACAAUAAGGACUACAGGAUACUUCAAACUCCAAAAACUUUAACCUACCAAACAUGUUGCAUCUGCUAACUCCAACAACAACUACACAUACAAGUACAUUAACCAGGAAAAUCAAAUUAGGAAAAUAUAAAGUACAAUAUCAGAAUAGGAAAUUACUUUCAGAUCUUGUUGAGUCAUAGGAUCCAAUUGCCAAUUCCUUUUGAUGUAUCUGCCUUCAUCAACAAUGGAAUGCAAAAUGAGUAGCCAAAGAUGUACAGCACAUUCAUUAAGUAGAUCCUUAUUAACAAAACAAUCAAUAUAAAAAGACACAGAAAAAUUUAGCAAAUUGAUAAGAUGACAUAGAAAGAAGAAAAGUACAGUAUAACUGGUUCUUUGGAAACAAAGUCUCUGACUGCCAGUCCUAUAUAUCAUGUAAAAUUGCAAAACCAAUUGUUGUCCAUCCUGACAUACUGUGAUAUUGGCCGCAUAAUACUCACAUGUUUGCCACAAUAGACAACUUCACUGAAACAAGUUAGAAUAGCAUGCAGUAGGGAUACUCAUACAAAAGAAAC
rnacentral:misc_RNA from 1 species